rnacentral:rRNA from 1 species
CUCGCCCGCCGAUUGGACAAAUUUAAACCCUUUGCAGUUGCAAUCAGCGUCUGAAAAACAUAAUAGUUACAACUUUCAACAACGGAUCUCUUGGUUCUGGCAUCGAUGAAGAACGCAGCGAAAUGCGAUAAGUAGUGUGAAUUGCAGAAUUCAGUGAAUCAUCGAAUCUUUGAACGCACAUUGCGCCCCUUGGUAUUCCAUGGGGCAUGCCUGUUCGAGCGUCAUUUGUACCUUCAAGCUUUGCUUGGUGUUGGGUGUUUGUCUCGCCUCUGUGUGUAGACUCGCCUCAAAACAAUUGGCAGCCGGCGUAUUGAUUUCGGAGCGCAGUACAUCUCGCGCCUUGCACUCAUAACGACGACGUCCAAAAGUACAUUUUUUACACUCUUGA